UUUUAAUAAUAUUUAUACACUUAGAACAAGCUUUUGCUUCUGGCUAUCAUCUGUCAUUUGUCACUUAUGAAAAGCUAGGAUGGUGGGAUGUUUGUGUGUGAGUGUAUGUGUCCGUGUUUGUGCCUGUGGGACAGAGUGUGUGGGCAGUUUGUCCAAGUGCCAUAGUUAACCACACGGUCUUUCUUGCUGUACAACUACUACUCUAGGAGUCUGUUUGCAUUCACAUCUUUGCUUUCUGAUUGACAUUUUAUGGAUGUUUGUGUUUCAACAUUACUUUAAGGAAAGAACUGAGAAGCAGAAAGAGCAGUAACAUGAACACGUUGCUCUUCUGCUUCCCCCAAAGAAUCCUGGUCAGUGUGUGCAUGUCCAUGGUUACGGAUACAGUGGCUCUGGGACAGCCACCCAGGAAUGGAGAGAGUGGCCAACAACUGCACAGUUCUGAAAGCCCCUUUUUAGAGGAAGCAAAGACACAGAUGGUGGAGAUCAGUAGGCCAACAUUUGAGUUACCACACUCUAUACUAAGGAGAAGUCCAAGUCAAUGUAGCACAGACCUGGGAACCAUGCACACACGAAGGGUCCAUUUCCAAGAUCCUGAAGUCACUGUGCAUGAGUUUUACAGUCCAAGCAGCAGUCCUUUUGUGCCUCUGCUCAGUUACACAGUCUUACUACUGUCUGCGCUGGCAGUGUUGUUGUUUAUGU